UUGUGCCAGCAGCCGCGGUUAUACGAUUGAUGCAAGUGAAUAUUAUUGGUUAAAACAGUUGUUUAUAUUUUUAGGGUUAAAGUAUAAAUUUUUAAGGUGAAAUGUUAAAAUUUAUUUAUAGCUCUUUUUAUGAAUCUGUGAAAUUUAAAUAAUAAACUAGGAUUAGAUACCCUAUUAUUUUAAAUGUUAAUUAUAUUUACCAGGGUACUAUUAGUUAAGGUCUUUAAACCCAAAGAAUUUGGCGGUAUCUCAUUCCAUUCAGAGGAACCUACCCCGUGAUUGAUAAUACACGAUUUACUCUACUUAAUUUAUUUGUUUGUAUAUCUCCGUUAUCAGAGAAUCUUUUUAGAGUUAUAAUUCUCAAGAUUUAUAAUUAUAAAAUAUUUCAGGUCAAGGUGCAGCUUAUAGUUAAGAGGAGGUGGGUUACAAUAGGUUUUUGUUUAUAACGGAUUUGAUGGUGAAAUACUAUUAAUGAAGGUGGAUUUGAUAGUAAUUUAANNNN
rnacentral:rRNA from 1 species